AUAUCUCAUAAUCUUAUUAAUAUAUACUAAUAAAAACAUUAACAUACCAACUACUAAAUUAACUGCCAAAAUUAAAGUACUAAAAAGGAACUCAAAAAUAAAGUAAAGUAGUGAGCUCUCACGUACCUUGUGCAUUAUGGUUUUACAAGCUAAAAAUUAAAAAUCUACUCCCGAAUUCUAUGCGAGCUGCCAUUUAUAUAGCUUAGAGCCCACUAUUGGCUGUAGCAGUAACCUUAGAAAAUAUAGUGGCAGAGGCUACAUACCACACGCGCUAGAAAAUUGCUGGUUCUCAAUAAAAUUUAUAUAUUAAAACAUGCAGUACUUCCGCAAUGUAAGACUUUAGAGGAUAAGCCCUAAAGUCUAAAGCUAGAUUCAUCACAAAAUAACAAAUAGGCUUAAAAACAGCCAAUCUCAAUACUUUACCGUACUAUUUAAUAUAAUAUCUAAACAAUCUUCUGCAUCAACAAAUUGAGAUUUAAGUCCAACUCAAAAACUUAAGAUACUCUGUAAAAAUAAGUAUUAGUAACCCAGUAUUAUACACAUAUAUAAAUCCACCUAAAUUAAAUAAAAUCAUCACU
rnacentral:rRNA from 1 species